UGGAGAUCUUCACCUGCUGGUGGCGUCCGAUCGCUAAUCAGGACAACGUCACCUACACGCUCCUGUACACCACGGGUGAGCGCACUCCUCGUGAGUGUCCUGAUUACGUGAGCGGCGGGGCAUCAACAGCUGCUUCUUCGAUGCCAAACACACUCAGAUAUGGGAGAUGUACUGCAUGAACGUGACGGCACACACGCACACGGGGCCCAUCACCUCUCAGAAACAUUGCCUGGACGUGGUCGAUAUAGUGGAGACCGACCC